AGUUCCGACCAAUCCCCAGCAGCAUGUAGGGGAAAGGGUUCUAGAACUUGGAACUGGGGACCCUGAUGGUCCAACAUGGAAAGAAAAUCAGGGCUCUGAGCAUAGAGAUGGCCCUCCCACCUCUCUCCUUGUGUCUGGAGGGAGGUCUGCCACCACCUGGGGUAGCUACUGAGCCUCCAAGAUGUCCUGGAGACAUCCCCUGGUGGGGCAUGAAAAAGACACGUCCAAAGCCUCAUACGGCCUGCGACAGUCAAGCACCAAGGAGUUUAUGGAUGUUGGCUCCCACUUCAGCGGAGAAGGCUCUGUGUCCGAGAUACCCUCUGAAACCAACAAAGGAGAAUAAAAUCUACUGAGCACAGAC